GUGCUCCCUUCAGCAGCACAUAUACUAAAAUCAUAAUGAUACAGAAAAAGAUCAGCACAACCCCUGUGAAAAGAUGACAUACAAAAUGGUAUAAUGUUCCAUAUUUCU
ensembl:snRNA U6 U6 spliceosomal RNA